AACGAACGCUGGCGGCAUGCCUAACACAUGCAAGUCGAACGAGGCCUUCGGGUCUAGUGGCGCACGGGUGCGUAACGCGUGGGAACCUGCCCUUAGGUUCGGAAUAACUCCCCGAAAGGGGUGCUAAUACCGGAUAAUGUCUUCGGACCAAAGAUUUAUCGCCUUUGGAUGGGCCCGCGUUGGAUUAGCUAGUUGGUAGGGUAAAAGCCUACCAAGGCGACGAUCCAUAGCUGGUCUGAGAGGAUGAUCAGCCACACUGGGACUGAGACACGGCCCAGACUCCUACGGGAGGCAGCAGUGGGGAAUAUUGGACAAUGGGCGAAAGCCUGAUCCAGCAAUGCCGCGUGAGUGGUGAAGGCCUUAGGGUUGUAAAGCUCUUUUACCCGGGAUGAUAAUGACAGUACCGGGAGAAUAAGCUCCGGCUAACUCCGUG
rnacentral:rRNA from 1 species